rnacentral:rRNA from 1 species
UGAGGAAUAUUGGUCAAUGGACGCAAGUCUGAACCAGCCAAGUAGCGUGCAGGAUGACGGCCCUAUGGGUUGUAAACUGCUUUUAUAUGGGGAUAAAGUGGGGAACGUGUUCCCUUUUGCAGGUACCAUAUGAAUAAGGACCGGCUAAUUCCGUGCCAGCAGCCGCGGUAAUACGGAAGGUUCGGGCGUUAUCCGGAUUUAUUGGGUUUAAAGGGAGCGUAGGCCGUUUGGUAAGCGUGUUGUGAAAUGUAGGAGCUCAACUUCUAGAUUGCAGCGCGAACUGUCAGACUUGAGUGCCCACAACGUAGGCGGAAUUCAUGGUGUAGCGGUGAAAUGCUUAGAUAUCAUGAAGAACUCCGAUUGCGAAGGCAGCUUACGGGAGCGCAACUGACGCUGAAGCUCGAAGGUGCGGGUAUCGAACAGG